rnacentral:rRNA from 1 species
UUACAGGCUUAACACAUGCAAGUCGAGGGGCAGCAUGGUCUUAGCUUGCUAAGGCCGAUGGCGACCGGCGCACGGGUGAGUAACACGUAUCCAACCUGCCGUCUACUCUUGGACAGCCUUCUGAAAGGAAGAUUAAUACAAGAUGGCAUCAUGAGUCCACAUGUUCACAUGAUUAAAGGUAUUCCGGUAGACGAUGGGGAUGCGUUCCAUUAGAUAGUAGGCGGGGUAACGGCCCACCUAGUCUUCGAUGGAUAGGGGUUCUGAGAGGAAGGUCCCCCACAUUGGAACUGAGACACGGUCCAAACUCCUACGGGAGGCAGCAGUGAGGAAUAUUGGUCAAUGGGCGAGAGCCUGAACCAGCCAAGUAGCGUGAAGGAUGACUGCCCUAUGGGUUGUAAACUUCUUUUAUAAAGGAAUAAAGUCGGGUAUGGAUACCCGUUUGCAUGUACUUUAUGAAUAAGGAUCGGCUAACUCCGUGCCAGCAGCCGCGGUAAUACGGAGGAUCCGAGCGUUAUCCGGAUUUAUUGGGUUUAAAGGGAGCGUAGAUGGAUGUUUAAGUCAGUUGUGAAAGUUUGCGGCUCAACCGUAAAAUUGCAGUUGAUACUGGAUAUCUUGAGUGCAGUUGAGGCAGGCGGAAUUCGUGGUGUAGCGGUGAAAUGCUUAGAUAUCACGAAGAACUCCGAUUGCGAAGGCAGCCUGCUAAGCUGCAACUGACAUUGAGGCUCGAAAGUGUGGGUAUCAAACAGGAUUAGAUACCCUGGUAGUCCACACGGUAAACGAUGAAUACUCGCUGUUUGCGAUAUACAGCAAGCGGCCAAGCGAAAGCGUUAAGUAUUCCACCUGGGAGUACGCCGGCAACGGUGAAACUCAAAGGAAUUGACGGGGGCCCGCACAAGCGGAGGAACAUGUGGUUUAAUUCGAUGAUACGCGAGGAACCUUACCCGGGCUUAAAUUGCAGAUGAAUUACGGUGAAAGCCGUAAGCCGCAAGGCAUCUGUGAAGGUGCUGCAUGGUUGUCGUCAGCUCGUGCCGUGAGGUGUCGGCUUAAGUGCCAUAACGAGCGCAACCCUUGUUGUCAGUUACUAACAGGUUCCGCUGAGGACUCUGACAAGACUGCCAUCGUAAGAUGUGAGGAAGGUGGGGAUGACGUCAAAUCAGCACGGCCCUUACGUCCGGGGCUACACACGUGUUACAAUGGGGGGUACAGAGGGCCGCUACCACGCGAGUGGAUGCCAAUCCCAAAAACCUCUCUCAGUUCGGACUGGAGUCUGCAACCCGACUCCACGAAGCUGGAUUCGCUAGUAAUCGCGCAUCAGCCACGGCGCGGUGAAUACGUUCCCGGGCCUUGUACACACCGCCCGUCAAGCCAUGGGAGCCGGGGGUACCUGAAGUGCGUAACCGCGAGGAGCGCCCUAGGGUAAAACUGGUGACUGGGGC